rnacentral:rRNA from 1 species
CGUAACAAGGUCUCCGUAGGUGAACCUGCGGAGGGAUCAUUACACAAAUAUGAAGGCGGGCUGGAACCUCUCGGGGUUACAGCCUUGCUGAAUUAUUCACCCUUGUCUUUUGCGUACUUCUUGUUUCCUUGGUGGGUUCGCCCACCACUAGGACAAACAUAAACCUUUUGUAAUUGCAAUCAGCGUCAGUAACAAAUUAAUAAUUACAACUUUCAGCAACGGAUCUCUUGGUUCUGGCAUCGAUGAAGAACGCAGCGAAAUGCGAUAAGUAGUGUGAAUUGCAGAAUUCAGUGAAUCAUCGAAUCUUUGAACGCACAUUGCGCCCUUUGGUAUUCCAAAGGGCAUGCCUGUUCGAGCGUCAUUUGUACCCUCAAGCUUUGCUUGGUGUUGGGCGUCUUGUCUCUAGCUUUGCUGGAGACUCGCCUUAAAGUAAUUGGCAGCCGGCCUACUGGUUUCGGAGCGCAGCACAAGUCGCACUCUCUAUCAGCAAAGGUCUAGCAUCCAUUAAGCCUUUUUUUCAACUUUUGACCUCGGAUCAGGUAGGGAUACCCGCUGAACUUAAGCAUAUCA